rnacentral:rRNA from 1 species
GUCCUAGCCCUAAACGAUCAUGACUUGGGGUGCAUCCCGUUGGGGUGCGUCCCGUAGCUAACGCGUUAAGUCCUGCGCCUGGGGAGUACGGUCGCAAGACUGAAACUCAAAGGAAUUGACGGGGGCCCGCACAAGCGGUGGAACAUGUGGUUCAAUUCGACGCAACGCGAAGAACCUUACCUGGGCUUGAACCGCUACUGACCAGCGGUAGAAAUAUCGCCUUCUCGCAAGAGACAGUAGUAGAGGUGCUGCAUGGCUGUCGU